GGGUCCCCCUGCGCGGCGCCUAUUGCGCGGUGGCAACCGCCGGAGGCCGCCGGGAGCAUCCUCAGAGCGCGAGAAGCGUGGCUUCCUCGCCUGUAAGAUGGGCUCCGGGCCCACGGGGCGUGUGAGGACUGAGUGAGGCGUGCGUAUGCGGUGAUAAAGCACUUAUCACGGUCUUCCUAAGAGUUACAUAACUGCCCCCAAAGCCAGGGGGCAGGAGCAGGGCCAGCCGUGGGAGAUGUUUCCAAAGAGGAAUGCUGAGGAAGGACUGACCUUGAGAAGACCGGGAGUUCGCCAGGCCAUGGAAUGUUCCCAGCCUCAGGGCUUAAACAAAAACUGUAUUCAGAGAGCGAGUGCUCUGUUGAGAACAAGCCCUGUCUGUCUCCCUGCUUUGUCUUGGGGGUUUAUCAAGGGAGUACUGGCCACCGUGCUAAAUGCCAGCUUCUUUUAAAGGCACUGAGCCGAGCGUGCAGGAUGAAACAGAAAAGGGCAUGUUUUUCCACCAAGAAGCAGAGGAUCGGCUGCAGCUGGAGUUACACCACCCCCAGCCCCCCCCACCCCUGUCCUAACGUGGCCCCUACAGGAGAGAACAGGUUGGGUAAAGCCAUUUCCUCACAAUGAGAGGGAGCCUGGGCAAAAAGUUUCCCCUGAACAGUGGUUCUGCACGGUGACUGGGACUCCAAAUUGCCUAGAGAGCUGAGGAAGCUGCUGGGACCGGGCUGUGUGCUCGGAGAGUGGCACUCAGAUGCCCAGGUCCCAAAAGGGAGGAGGGCACGAGAC